rnacentral:tmRNA from 1 species
GGGGCCGACCUGGUUUCGACGUGGGCAACAAAGCAGAACCGUGCAUACCGAGGGGCGGCGCACCUCGUAAAUACAACCGCAAACCAAAUAGUCGCAAACGACGAAAACUACGCAUUAGCUGCCUAAAAAACAGCCGCGCUCUGCACUGAUGGGCCUCAACGUCAGGUGGGGUUGUAGCAAUACAGUCUCACAGCGGAGUCAUUAACGAGGAUCGCUUUCUGCCGGGCUACUUGGUAGAAAGUUAAAACAAGGUAGCUCGCCUGACACCAGCCCGCCCAUUGGCGUGUGAAGGGUUAAAAAACAAAAAGUGGAAUCUAAGUAUGUAGAGCGGCCUGUGGAGGGCUUGCGGACGCGGGUUCGAUUCCCGCCGGCUCCACCA